rnacentral:rRNA from 1 species
CGAACGCUGGCGGCGUGCCUAAUACAUGCAAGUCGAGCGGAGUUAAACCUUCGGAUUUAAUUUAGCGGCGGACGGGUGAGUAACACGUAGGUAACCUGCCUAACAGACUGGGAUAACUACCGGAAACGGUAGCUAAGACCGGAUACGACCAUUUGGGGGCAUCCUUGGAUGGUGAAAAGCGGAGUAAUCUGCUACUGAUAGAUGGACCUGCGGCGCAUUAGCUAGUUGGUGAGGUAGUGGCUCACCAAGGCGACGAUGCGUAGCCGACCUGAGAGGGUGAACGGCCACACUGGGACUGAGACACGGCCCAGACUCCUACGGGAGGCAGCAGUAGGGAAUCUUCGGCAAUGGACGAAAGUCUGACCGAGCAACGCCGCGUGAGUGAUGAAGGUUUUCGGAUCGUAAAACUCUGUUGCCAGGGAAGAAUGGCUAGGCGAGUAACUGCGCUUGGUUUGACGGUACCUGAGAAGAAAGCCCCGGCUAACUACGUGCCAGCAGCCGCGGUAAUACGUAGGGGGCAAGCGUUGUCCGGAAUUAUUGGGCGUAAAGCGCGCGCAGGCGGUCAUUUAAGUCUGGUGUAUAAACCAAGGGCUCAACCUUUGGACGCAUUGGAAACUGGGUGACUGGAGUGUAGGAGAGGAAAGUGGAAUUCCACGUGUAGCGGUGAAAUGCGUAGAGAUGUGGAGGAACACCAGUGGCGAAGGCGACUUUCUG